UUGCACAUAAAGACACUUUAAUGAUGAAACAAUUUCUUUCAAUGAAUAGUGUAAAAUAUAUAUAUAUACUAUUUAAUGACUAAAAUUCAAGAAGAAUAAAUUCUGCCCAAAUGCUCAGCCUAUUUAUUAGAGCUUCAAUAACAUUUUCCUAUGUCUAAUUGAUUCAACAUGAAGAUCUCUGCUUGCCACACUCACAACAAAUAUUCCAUAAAUUGCUCUAAGUAGCCUAGGUGAGGCAGCACUAUACGUUUUGGGAAAAGCAUCUGAAUUUGAGCAGCCAAUAUUAGUUGAUCUGGUGCAAGGUGUAAUAUGACCGAUGGUAGUUUUGAAAAUAAAAUCAUGGGGUUUCAAUGUGCACAAUAAAGUCAAAAAUAUAGUUCAAAUCAUUUGCAUAACAAUAUUAAAAUUUAUUUAAAAUCUCACAUCACAUAUACUAUUCAUAUAUUAUAAUAAUUCACAAAUAAUUAUUUAAGGUUAGACUUAGGGUAAAACAUAUUUUGAACCAUAUGCCCAUUAAAUUUCAAAUUUCUUUUUUUCAUUAUCAGCAACGACUAAAAUUGUACGAUGUUUAUUUAUGUGCUAAAUUAUUUUUGAAAAUUAAAUUAAAAAAUGGCACAGGAGUAGAAUCUCAAAUCUGAACAAAAUCUAACAACCAUUAUACAAGUGUUACCAACUAAUAUGAUGGCCUUGCAAUUUUGCAUAUUUAUGCAGAGUAGAGAUUUUACCAGAGAGGAGGAAUUGGAACAUACCAUUCACUUUUUUUCAUUCAUUCAAACAUAUUUACAUCCAUAUUAAAUUUAUCUGCUAGAGUUCAAGACACAGAAAAAA